GCCCGUCCCGAAGGCGGACCAAUCAGGAGCGGCUGCGGCGGAAGUGACGCAUGGAAUGCGCCUCAGAGCUCUCUCAGAUCACAAAAAGAUGGCCUCAGAUCACCUCACAACCUGUGAGGAGGCCUGACAUAGAUGUGGGCGAAACGUCAGGAGAGAAUGCUUCUGGAACAUGGCCAUUCAGCCCGGAAAGCAUACAAUCACCCUGUGAUCCCGGCCAUGAAAGCCUUCGACACCACAUUGAUUACAAAAGAUUACCUCACAACCUGUGAGGAGGCCUGCCAUAGAUGUGGGAGAAACGUCAGGCGAGAAUGCUUCUGGAACAUGGCCAUACAGCCCGGAAAACAUACAAUAACCCUGUGAUCCCGGCCAUGAAAGCCUUCGACACCACAUUGAUUACAAAAGAUUACCUCACAACCUAUGAGGAUGCCCGCCAUAGAUGUGGGAGAAACGUCAGGAGAGAAUGCUUCUAGAACAUGGCCAUACAGCCCGGAAAACAUACAACAACCCUGAUUACAACAGAGUUAGGAAGCUGGUUCAACAGACAAGCAAAGAGAGAGAAGAAACAGGACCAAUAGGUCAGAGCUUCCGUUUGAACUGUCUGGCUGGAACUCAAGAACUCAGGAAUGCGGGAGGUGCCAGCCUUGUAGAGAUAACAGCUGUGCCAAGCAGAGAAGACGAGCCAUAUGUGCGGAGAACUAUGGCUUUAGCAACUGUAUAUAUUUGUAUAAUAAAGUAUUUAGACCUGCUGGGAUCAGCAGUAUAUCAACGA